rnacentral:rRNA from 1 species
UCCUUGCCUAGUCUACCAGCAAAUGACUUUUAGUUUGCCCUCCCGAAACUAAGUGAGCUACUUUAGGAUAGCCCCAGAGCUAACCCGUCUCUGUUGCAAAAGAGUGGGAAAAUCUUAAAGUAGAGGUGAUAGACCUAUCGAACUUAGAGAUAGCUGGUUUUUUAAGAAAAGAAUUUUAGUUCUACUUUAAAUUUUGUAUUAAACAAAAAUAUACCUAAAUUUAAAAGCUACUCAAAUAAGGCACAGCUUAUUUGAAACAGGACACAACCUAGAACUCAGGGUAAGAUAAAUUAAAUUUUAACAAGUGGGCCUAAAAGCAGCCAUCUUUCAAAAAGCGUCACAGCUUAGUGAUCACAAUCUAAUUAAUACCAAUAUUUACCUCCAACCCUCACACACUAUUAAAAAACUCCAUAAUAUUAUGGAAGCUACUAUGCUAGAACAAGUAACAAGAAAAAGACUUUCUCCAAAAUGUAGGCUUAAGCCAUAAUAGACACACUACUGGCAAUUAACGUCUAUAAAUUCACUGUAGCAACUCACACAAGAAAAUUUUACAACCCCCUGACGUUAAACUUACACUAGCACAUUAAUGGAAAGAUUAAAAGAGUAGGAAGGAACUCGGCAAAUAUAGAUCCCGCCUGUUA